rnacentral:rRNA from 1 species
CGGGCGCGGCGCCGGUCUAAGUCCCUUGGAACGGGGCGUCAUAGAGGGUGAGAAUCCCGUAUGUGACCGGCGAUCAAGCCCAUGUGAAACUCCUUCGACGAGUCGAGUUGUUUGGGAAUGCAGCUCAAAAUGGGUGGUAAAUUUCAUCUAAAGCUAAAUACUGGCCAGAGACCGAUAGCGCACAAGUAGAGUGAUCGAAAGAUGAAAAGCACUUUGGAAAGAGAGUCAAAAAGUACGUGAAAUUGUUGAAAGGGAAGCGCUUGCAACCAGACCUGCCCGCGGGCGACCAGCCGUCCUUUUCGGGGCGGUGCACGCGCCCGCGAACAGGCCAGCAUCGGUUCGGGCGGCCGGAUAAAGGCCUUGGGAAUGUAGCUCCUCUCGGGGAGUGUUAUAGCCCUUGGUGCAAUGCGGCCAGCCCGGACCGAGGACCGCGCUUCGGCUAGGAUGCUGGCGUAAUGGUUGUAAGCGGCCCGUCUUGAAACACGGACCAAGGAGUCUAACAUCUAUGCGAGUGUUUGGGUGUCAAACCCAUACGCGUAAUGAAAGUGAACGGAGGUAGGAACCCAUUAGGGCGCACUAUCGACCGAUCCUGAUGUCUUCGGAUGGAUUUGAGUACGAGCAUAGCUGUUGGGACCCGAAAGAUGGUGAACUAUGCCUGAAUAGGGUGAAGCCAGAGGAAACUCUGGUGGAGGCUCGCAGCGGUUCUGACGUGCAAAUCAUUCGUCAAUUUAGGGGCAUAGGGGCAAAGUUUGUGAUCCCGUUCCCUAUUAUAACCCAGGAA